AACGAACGCUGGCGGCAGGCUUAACAUAUGCAAGUCGAACGCCCCGCAAGGGGAGUGGCAGACGGGUGAGUAACGCGUGGGAACAUACCCUUUCCUGCGGAAUAGCUCUGGGAAACUGGAAUUAAUACCGCAUACGCCCUACGGGGGAAAGAUUUAUCGGGGAAGGAUUGGCCCGCGUUGGAUUAGCUAGUUGGUGGGGUAAAGGCCUACCAAGGCGACGAUCCAUAGCUGGUCUGAGAGGAUGAUCAGCCACAUUGGGACUGAGACACGGCCCAAACUCCUACGGGAGGCAGCAGUGGGGAAUAUUGGACAAUGGGCGCAAGCCUGAUCCAGCCAUGCCGCGUGAGUGAUGAAGGCCUUAGGGUUGUAAAGCUCUUUCACCGAUGAAGAUAAUGACGGUAGUCGGAGAAGAAGCCUCGGCUAACUUCGUGCCAGCAGCCGCCGUAAGAC
rnacentral:rRNA from 1 species